GUCAGGUUGUGCAUCUGUGUGUCCGGGUGUGCAUCCUUAAGUGUGUCAGUGUAUGUAUCUAUGUGUCUUUGUAUCUGCAUGUGUGUCAUUGUGUGUAUCUGUGUCUCUGUCAGGAUGGCGGUCCGGUGCCCGGGACCCAGACACUGUCCGGGCGGCGGUGCGUGGACCGGGACCCCUGAGUGCUUGGUGUUCAGAGUAGGAGUCACAGUGUGGAGGUGGAUUAGCAGGGUCUGGUGCAGGGCAACCGUACGCCCCCUGGUGUUGAGCACCAGCGUUUGUGCAGCCACAUACCAGAACCCUGAUUCAGCUUAGGCGGAUCCUAGGAACUAGGAGCAGGUAAUUAAGCAGACCUCCCAGGAGCUGAAUAGGGAUGUAUCCAGUACUGAAGCAAGGCAAAACUAGGAGAGCAAGGCACCAUACACGAAAACAAGACCAAACUAGGAGAACAAGGAAAGACUAGAGAUAGGCACCAUACAUGAAAACAAGGCAAAACUAGGAGAACCCAGAACCAGAGCAGGACAGAAAGCAGAACCUAGAACAUGUACACAAGACAUGAUGAAAACAAGAACAUAACAUGGGCAGGACGGAACAUGGACUGUGAUUACAAGACAAAGUAAAACAAGACAAGAAAUACAAGGUAAAACAAGAGGAAACAUAGCUAAGCACUAAUUAUGAAAAGUAUUGGGAUUUAGUCAC